rnacentral:misc_RNA from 1 species
GAUGAAGAACGUAGCGAAAUGCGAUAAGUAAUGUGAAUUGCAGAAUUCCGUGAAUCAUCGAAUCUUUGAACGCACAUUGCGCCCGGUAGUAUUCUGCCGGGCAUGCCUGUUCGAGCGUCAUUUCAACCAUCAAGCCCCAGCGCUUGUGUUGGGGGCCUGCGGCUGCCGCAGCCCCCCAAAAGCAGUGGCGGGCUCGCUAUCACACCGAGUGCAGUAGUUCAUCUUCUCUCCGGUCUUGUGAGGCGGGUUCCGGCCGUGAAACACCCCACUACAUUCAAGGUUGACCUCGGAUCAGGUAGGAAUACCCGCUGAACUUAAGCAUAUCAAUAAGCGGAGGA